rnacentral:rRNA from 1 species
UACGGAGGGUGCAAGCGUUAAUCGGAAUCACUGGGCGUAAAGCGUGCGUAGGCGGUUUGGCAAGCCAGACGUGAAAGCCCUCGGCUCAACCGAGGAACUGCGUUUGGAACUGCCAGACUUGAGUCCGAGAGAGGGUGGCGGAAUUCCGGGUGUAGGAGUGAAAUCCGUAGAUAUCCGGAGGAACACCGGUGGCGAAGGCGGCCGCCUGGAUCGGUACUGACGCUGAGGUACGAAAGCGUGGGGAGCAAACAGG